UGUACCCGCGGCAAGACGGAAAGACCCCGUGAACCUUUACUAUAGCUUGACACUGAACAUUGAGCCUUGAUGUGUAGGAUAGGUGGGAGGCUUUGAAGCGUGGACGCCAGUCUGCGUGGAGCCAACCUUGAAAUACCACCCUUUAAUGUUUGAUGUUCUAACGUGGGCCCCUAAUCGGGGUUGCGGACAGUGUCUGGUGGGUAGUUUGACUGGGGCGGUCUCCUCCCAAAGCGUAACGGAGGAGCACGAAGG
rnacentral:rRNA from 1 species